UACGUAGGCAGCGAGCGUUGUUCGGAGUUACUGGGCGUAAAGCGUGCGUAGGCGGUGGCCCAAGUCUGGUGUGAAAUCUCCCGGCUUAACUGGGAGGGUGCGCCGGAAACUGGGUUGCUGGAGUACCGGAGAGGCAAGCGGAAUUCCUGGUGUAGCGGUGAAAUGCGUAGAUAUCAGGAGGAACACCCGUGGUGUAGACGGCUUGCUGGACGGUCACUGACGCUGAGGCACAAAAGCGUGGGGAGCAAACAGG
rnacentral:rRNA from 1 species